GGCCUGGUGGUGUAAUAGUAACACACUUGCUUUCUGUGGCACAGGGAAGAGGUUUCAGCAUGAGAUCCUUGUUCAAUUCAAGGCCGGGCCA